rnacentral:lncRNA from 1 species
CUGUUAGUUAUGAUAGUUACUGCACGAUUUUAUUGCCUGCGAUUGUAUGUAUGUUUCUUAUUUUUAGUUAAUUAUUUUCACUAUUUUCUGCGGGAGUUACUAAUGCUUUUUGUUUUUGUUUUGUUUUACAGCUGUUUUUCCUUUUGUCCUAUGCGUCGAGGGUCGAUUGGAAACAGCCUCCCUGCCCUUUCGGGUAGGGGUAAGGCUUGUCUACAUAUUACCCUCCCCAGACUCUCACCUGCUGGGAAUAUACUGGG